GAUGAACGCUAGCUACAGGCUUAACACAUGCAAGUCGAGGGGCAGCAUCAUCAAAGCUUGCUUUGAUGGAUGGCGACCGGCGCACGGGUGAGUAACACGUAUCCAACCUGCCGACAACACUGGGAUAGCCUUUCGAAAGAAAGAUUAAUACCGGAUGGCAUAGUUUUCCCGCAUGGGAUAAUUAUUAAAGAAUUUCGGUUGUCGAUGGGGAUGCGUUCCAUUAGGCAGUUGGCGGGGUAACGGCCCACCAAACCAACGAUGGAUAGGGGUUCUGAGAGGAAGGUCCCCCACAUUGGAACUGAGACACGGUCCAAACUCCUACGGGAGGCAGCAGUGAGGAAUAUUGGUCAAUGGACGAGAGUCUGAACCAGCCAAGUAGCGUGAAGGAUGACUGCCCUAUGGGUUGUAAACUUCUUUUAUACGGGAAUAAAGUUAGCCACGUGUGGCUUUUUGUAUGUACCGUAUGAAUAAGGAUCGGCUAACUCCGUGCCAGCAGCCGCGGUAAUACGGAGGAUCCGAGCGUUAUCCGGAUUUAUUGGGUUUAAAGGGAGCGUAGGCGGGUUGUUAAGUCAGUUGUGAAAGUUUGCGGCUCAACCGUAAAAUUGCAGUUGAUACUGGCGACCUUGAGUGCAACAGAGGUAGGCGGAAUUCGUGGUGUAGCGGUGAAAUGCUUAGAUUUCACGAAGAACUCCGAUUGCGAAGGCAGCUUACUGGAUUGUAACUGACGCUGAUGCUCGAAAGUGUGGGUAUCAAACAGGAUUAGAUACCCUGGUAGUCCACACAGUAAACGAUGAAUACUCGCUGUUGGCGAUAUACAGUCAGCGGCCAAGCGAAAGCAUUAAGUAUUCCACCUGGGGAGUACGCCGGCAACGGUGAAACUCAAAGGAAUUGACGGGGGCCCGCACAAGCGGAGGAACAUGUGGUUUAAUUCGAUGAUACGCGAGGAACCUUACCCGGGCUUAAAUUGCAACUGACUGAACCGGAAACGGUUCUUUCUUCGGACAGUUGUGAAGGUGCUGCAUGGUUGUCGUCAGCUCGUGCCGUGAGGUGUCGGCUUAAGUGCCAUAACGAGCGCAACCCUUACGGGUAGUUACCAUCAGGUUAUGCUGGGGACUCUACCCGGACUGCCGUCGUAAGAUGUGAGGAAGGUGGGGAUGACGUCAAAUCAGCACGGCCCUUACGUCCGGGGCUACACACGUGUUACAAUGGGGGGUACAGAAGGCAGCUACACGGCGACGUGGUGCUAAUCCCAAAAGCCUCUCUCAGUUCGGAUUGGAGUCUGCAACCCGACUCCAUGAAGCUGGAUUCGCUAGUAAUCGCGCAUCAGCCACGGCGCGGUGAAUACGUUCCCGGGCCU
rnacentral:rRNA from 1 species